UACAGAGACUGCAAGCGUUAUUCGGAUUCACUGGGCGUAAAGGGUGCGCAGGCGGCCAAGUGUGUUAGGCGUGAAAGCCCGGGGCUUAACCCCGGAAUUGCACCUAAAACUACAUGGCUAGAGCAUUGGAGAGGGUAGCGGAAUUCACGGUGUAGCAGUGAAAUGCGUAGAUAUCGUGAGGAACACCAGAGGCGAAGGCGGCUACCUGGACAAUUGCUGACGCUCAGGCACGAAAGCGUGGGGAGCAAGAGGG
rnacentral:rRNA from 1 species